CACAUGACUCUCGGCAACGGAUAUCUCGGCUCUCGCAUCGAUGAAGAACGUAGCAAAAUGCGAUACCUGGUGUGAAUUGCAGAAUCCCGCGAACCAUCGAGUUUUUGAACGCAAGUUGCGCCCAAGGCCUUCUGGCUAAGGGCACGCCUGCCUGGGCGUCACGC
rnacentral:rRNA from 1 species